CAAAGGGAUGCUGCCUGUGGAUGAAAAGAGGAAAGAAUGACACUGUAGACCUUUUGUUCUCCAGAGGGAACUUAGCUGGGGGAAAAUCAUAUCGAAAGAGACACACUAUGUUGGCACCUGGAGAGGAAUUAAAAAGUAUUCAUUGCAGGGCUGCCUUAUUAACUAAUGGAUUCAAAGACAGUAAGAAGAUAAUCGGAAGAAACGUUAGUGAGCUAUUUCUGGCAGCACAAGGGAUGAAGGCAAUUCUGAAAGGAUCCCAUCAAGGAUACUGCAUUACAUUUUGCCUUUAUGUUCCGGACUCCUUUGGGCCGUAAAAGAACUGGGUGGCUUCCAAUAAGGCGUGGAUGCAAUAAACCUCUAUAAACAAGGCUAAAAAGGACAAGAAUUGGCUGAAAAACUGGCAAUGAUAACUUCACUCAAAAGCCGAGGCUAAGGAAAUGUAUUGAAAUUGAGCACAAAAUAUCACUCUGAAUUCCUAAUCGUGAAAGGCGAAAUGAAGAAAGUGACGGAUGACUUUGUUUUUAUAAUCAAAUUACAACACUGCUCGUUCUGAGCUCUGGGAGGAGCGUGUCACUGGACAAUCUGCAAAGGACACGCUGAAUGCCAUUAGGGUCGGCAUCAGAGCGCGUGGUUUCACAAUGCAGGGACAUUCGUCAUAAGACCAUUUCUUAUAUCCACUCUCAAUGAAAGCCAAGGGUAUGAAGGAAAGUUCUGUGAAGGCUUCCAAAAAACCUAGGGUGAACUCCCAAGUGGGUAGCCUUUUAGGGAACUGGCUUGGUAUGAGAGGACAUUCUAAAGAAUCUCAAGGAAUAAAAUAGUUAACCUGUCCCUUGGCUUCUCCAAUCAA